rnacentral:rRNA from 1 species
GAUUGAACGCUGGCGGCAUGCCUUACACAUGCAAGUCGAACGGCAGCACGGGUGCUUGCACCUGGUGGCGAGUGGCGAACGGGUGAGUAAUACAUCGGAACAUGUCCUGUAGUGGGGGAUAGCCCGGCGAAAGCCGGAUUAAUACCGCAUACGAUCUACGGAUGAAAGCGGGGGACCUUCGGGCCUCGCGCUAUAGGGUUGGCCGAUGGCUGAUUAGCUAGUUGGUGGGGUAAAGGCCUACCAAGGCGACGAUCAGUAGCUGGUCUGAGAGGACGACCAGCCACACUGGGACUGAGACACGGCCCAGACUCCUACGGGAGGCAGCAGUGGGGAAUUUUGGACAAUGGGCGAAAGCCUGAUCCAGCAAUGCCGCGUGUGUGAAGAAGGCCUUCGGGUUGUAAAGCACUUUUGUCCGGAAAGAAAUCCUUGGCUCUAAUACAGUCGGGGGAUGACGGUACCGGAAGAAUAAGCACCGGCUAACUACGUGCCAGCAGCCGCGGUAAUACGUAGGGUGCGAGCGUUAAUCGGAAUUACUGGGCGUAAAGCGUGCGCAGGCGGUUUGCUAAGACCGAUGUGAAAUCCCCGGGCUCAACCUGGGAACUGCAUUGGUGACUGGCAGGCUAGAGUAUGGCAGAGGGGGGUAGAAUUCCACGUGUAGCAGUGAAAUGCGUAGAGAUGUGGAGGAAUACCGAUGGCGAAGGCAGCCCCCUGGGCCAAUACUGACGCUCAUGCACGAAAGCGUGGGGGAGCAAACAGGAUUAGAUACCCUGGUAGUCCACGCCCUAAACGAUGUCAACUAGUUGUUGGGGAUUCAUUUCCUUAGUAACGUAGCUAACGCGUGAAGUUGACCGCCUGGGGAGUACGGUCGCAAGAUUAAAACUCAAAGGAAUUGACGGGGACCCGCACAAGCGGUGGAUGAUGUGGAUUAAUUCGAUGCAACGCGAAAAACCUUACCUACCCUUGACAUGGUCGGAAUCCCGCUGAGAGGUGGGAGUGCUCGAAAGAGAACCGGCGCACAGGUGCUGCAUGGCUGUCGUCAGCUCGUGUCGUGAGAUGUUGGGUUAAGUCCCGCAACGAGCGCAACCCUUGUCCUUAGUUGCUACGCAAGAGCACUCUAAGGAGACUGCCGGUGACAAACCGGAGGAAGGUGGGGAUGACGUCAAGUCCUCAUGGCCCUUAUGGGUAGGGCUUCACACGUCAUACAAUGGUCGGAACAGAGGGUUGCCAACCCGCGAGGGGGAGCUAAUCCCAGAAAACCGAUCGUAGUCCGGAUUGCACUCUGCAACUCGAGUGCAUGAAGCUGGAAUCGCUAGUAAUCGCGGAUCAGCAUGCCGCGGUGAAUACGUUCCCGGGUCUUGUACACACC